AUUGAACGCUGGCGGCAGGCCUAACACAUGCAAGUCGAACGGUAACAGGAAGAAGCUUGCUUCUUUGCUGACGAGUGGCGGACGGGUGAGUAAUGUCUGGGAAACUGCCUGAUGGAGGGGGAUAACUACUGGAAACGGUAGCUAAUACCGCAUAACGUCGCAAGACCAAAGAGGGGGACCUUCGGGCCUCUUGCCAUCGGAUGUGCCCAGAUGGGAUUAGCUAGUAGGUGGGGUAACGGCUCACCUAGGCGACGAUCCCUAGCUGGUCUGAGAGGAUGACCAGCCACACUGGAACUGAGACACGGUCCAGACUCCUACGGGAGGCAGCAGUGGGGAAUAUUGCACAAUGGGCGCAAGCCUGAUGCAGCCAUGCCGCGUGUAUGAAGAAGGCCUUCGGGUUGUAAAGUACUUUCAGCGGGGAGGAAGGGAGUAAAGUUAAUACCUUUACUCAUUGACGUUACCCGCAGAUGAAGCACCGGCUAACUCCGUG
rnacentral:rRNA from 1 species